UCCCAGGAACGCAGAGAGGGGCACAGGGUGGGAACGGGGUGCGUGCAGCUGUGUGGCCCACUGGGACUUGGGAAGACAACAGCCGUCUCUCCCUCUUCCCCAGAGACAUACCUGUGCCCAGGGCGCAAAGAAAGAGCCCGCGCCUCUCUUUGGGUAGCUAGCUUAGUUGCUAGGCAACUAGGGGCUGGAUAAGUGGGGGCGGGGGCUCGGAAUUACCUUGUUUAAUAGACGCGGCAGCCUCAGUCGCCCGGCCGCGGCUCAGAAGGCUCACGCGCAGCGUUCUGGGUGCCUGAUACGUCACACUCGCGGGGAUCGACGGCGGUGCAAAGGAAUCACGUGACGACGCGUAAGGGCCGCCAUUGCUGAGACGGGUUGGAGAGUGCUUGAGUCGCCAUUGCUUUGUAGGGAAUCGCUGUAUACCACCCCCACCCCUUGGCGGAGCCCAGUCGAGCCUUCGCGGCUUUCAACAACAACAACGUGCUUAAGGUGGUUUACAAAGGGAAAAGAAAAAGGAAAGGAUCCCCUAUCCCAAAAGCGUUCCCAGUCUAAAAGGAAACGCAAGGGAGACACCAGCAACAACCACUCGAGACACCUCUAUGCUGGGCUCAAGAAGGGCAGUCGCGCUCCCGCCACAAAAUAUGAGAGAGCCACCAAUUGAGAAGGUGUCUCUUUACCCAUUUAGCAAGGCAACGGUCGAGAGCCGGGCAUUCGUUCUUUUGAAAGACUUUGUAUGCUAUCAACAUUUCAGAAUAUAUCCCCCACAGACAGCUAGCUGUCACUGGGGACUGAAGUUGGACCACCUGAUACGUCUCACAAAGGCCAACGAACUAUCUUCAGAUCUUAGUAACUCCCCAUCAUAACUGAGCUGCACUUGAUUUGAACUGACAACUUGGAAGCAGGAUUCUCCAUAUCCAAUUACCCAGUUCCCUGAUGAGACUCAUGUUUAUCUGAAGUCUCUGCUUUCUGAAGUGUGAUGAGAGAAUUCCUCCCUCCCAUUUCAUACUGCACUGCAACUUGCCUGC